rnacentral:lncRNA from 1 species
CAGGAGAUCGAGACCAUCCUGGCUAAGAUGGUGAAACCCCGUCUCUACUAAAAAUACUAAAAAAAAAAUUAGCUGGGCGUGGCGGCGGACGCCUGUAGUCUCAGCUACUCCAGUGGCUGAGGCAGGAGAAUGGCGUGAACCCAGGAGGCGGAGCUUGCAGUGAGCAGAGAUCGCGCCACUGCACUCCAGCCUGGGCGAAAGAGCGAGACUCCAUCUCAAAAAAAAAAAAAAAAAAAUUGUGGUAGGAAAUUUCCAGACCUUUUUGAGUUUUUAAGGCUUUUGGAUGUACAGUUGACCCUUGAACAAUGCAGGAGUUAGGGGUACCAAUAUCCUUGCAUUAGAAAAUCCAUAUAUAACUUCUUUUUUUUUUUUUUGAGACAGCGUUUUACUCUGUUGCCCAGGCUUCAGUGCAGUGGUGCAAUUUUUGCUCACUGCAACCUCUACCUCCCAGGCUCAAGCCACCUCAGCCUCCCAAGUAGCUGGGACCACAGGCACGUGCUAACAUGCCUGGUUAAUUUUUGUAUUUUUUUGUAGAGUUGGGGUUUCACCGUGUUCCCCAGGCUGGUCUUGAACUCCUGAGCUCAAGCAAUCCAUUUGCCUUGGCCUCCCAAAGUGCUAGGAUUACAGGUGUGAGCCACCACAUCUGGCCCAUAUAUAACUUAUGACUGCCCACUAACUAUUAAUAGCCUGCUGCUGACUGGAAUCCUUACUGGUAACAAUCGAUCAACACAUAUUUUGCAUGUUAUAUGCAUCUUAUGCUGUAUUCUUACAAGAAAGUAAGCUAGAGAAAAGAAAAUGUUAUGAAGAAAAACACAAGGAAGAUAAAAUAUAUUAACUAUUUAUUAAGUGCAAGUGGCUGAUGAUAAAGAUCUUCACCCUUGUCAUCUUCACAUUGAGUAGGCUGAGGAGGAGGAAGAGGAAGAGGAGGGGUUGGUUUUGUUCUCUCAGGGGUGGCAGAGGAGGAAGAAAAUCCAUGUAUAAGUGAACACCCACAGCCAAACCUGUGUUGUUCAAGGGUUAACUGUAUUUUCUUUUUAUUAUGUAAUGGGGGCUAUUUGCACACAUCUACUAAGAAGCGCAAAUAAAAUGUAUUUCUUUAUUUUCUAUAAUGAUAUAAUCUUCCUCAUCCUCCCUCACUCGACUGAGUGGUGAUGGACAGUGGAGGUGGGGGCACAGUCAAGCCUUUUAAUCAGCCCCUCUGUAUCUAUAGGUUUUGAUAUGGUUUGGCUGUGUCACCACCCAAAUCUCCUCUUGAAUUGUAGUUCCCAUAAUCCCCAUGCAUCAUGGGAGGGACCAGGUGGAUAUAAUUGGAUCAUGGGGUGGUUUCCCCUGUCCUAUUCUCCUGAUAAUGAGUUUGUUCUUCACAAGAUCUGAUGUUUUUAUAUGCAGCUUCCCUCUCUGCUGGUCACUCAUUCUUCUCUCUCCUGCUGCCAUAUGAAAAAGGACCCGUUUCCUUCCCCUUCUGCCAUGAUUGGACCUGGGAGUGCGACAUGGUGGCCUCAGGGGAAAAGGGCUCUCGUCUAGACCUUCUGACUGUCCUCUGGAUCUUCCUGGUGUCCAUGCGGGGCUGCUGCUCUGGGCUGGCCCCAGGGCCUUUGGCCAGUGUCCAUGAGACCCGGAAUUCCAGCAACCAGUUUGACAACUCCUACAGAGAAACAGGAUCCACAUAAGGAUACAGCUUCUUCAUAUCCCUGUCCCAUGACUUCACCCUGCGUUCUUCAACCAAUCAAUGUGUCAGGCCUCUGAGCCCAGGCCUGCACGUAUACAUCCAGAUGGCAUGAAGUAACUGAGGAAUCACAAAAGAAGUGAAACUGGCCGGUUCCUGCCUUAACUGAUGACAUUACCUUGUGAAAUUCCUUCUCCUGGCUCAUCUGGGCUCAGAAGCUCCUCCACUGAGCACCUUGUGACCCCCCACCCCUGUCCGCCAGAGAGCAACCCCCUUUGACUGUAAUUUUCCACUACCUACCCAAAUCCUGUGAAAUGGCCCCACCCCAUCUCCCUUCACUGACUCUAUUUUCGGACUCCGCCCGCCUGCACCCAGGUGAAAUAAACAGCCUUGU